AGUCAAAGCUUGUAGAAGCUAAUUUCCCUGUCAUUGCAUUAUAGUUAAACUGGUUACGCACGUCUCAUUCAAUUAUGUAACUUGAAGAAUACCAACAACAUAGGUCCCCAAUUUCAAUAGUCCGUAUGCUGGUUUUAGCACUUACAAUGGAUCAGCUUUUAGCAUGAGACACUACGUUCAUCAUACUUUGAAAUUCGGAGCCACAAUUUAAAAUGUAAUUUUGUCUCUGUGUGUUGUUAUUGGCCUUUCUUUUUGUACUUUCUGGAUGUAUACUGUAAUAUUUUGUUCAAAUCAAGAUGAAGACUGGAAGCUAAUUCACAAUACAUAUACACAGCCUGGUGGUGGCUGGGCUCUAUCCUCCCCAUUCUCUGAGAGAGAACCUUGCAGCCCCUGAGAGGUGGUACCUCUGUGGUACCAGGUACCUGUCUUCUGCUCCAUGAGCUCUUUUUUGACUUCAUCCUUCUUCAGUGCUCACAGGUCACCCAGCAGUUUGAGACACACCCAGCGACUGAACAACAUCUCCGGAGUCCAGCCUAGUGUCAAAUACAAUGGCACUUUUCCUCUCUAAUUGCAACCAAUUGUCACUGUCUUCUGGUGGGUGUAACCAGGAGAAAAUGGACAUGGGAAUGAACUGGGACUGUCCAGAGAGCCCUUCCAGCUUCAGCUGAGGCAUGCUGG
rnacentral:lncRNA from 1 species